GUACCCGCUGAACUUAAGCAUAUCAAUAAGCGGAGGACAAGAAACCAACCGGGAUUGCCUUAGUAACGGCGAGUGAAGCGGCACCAGCUCAAAUUUGAAAUCCGGCCUCGGCCUGAGUUGUACUUUGCAGAGGCAGCGUGGGGCGCGGCGUUGCCCAAGUCCCCUGGAACGGGGCGCCGGAGAGGGUGAGAGCCCCGUCGCGGCGGACGCCCAGCCUAUGUCACGCGCCUUCGACGAGUCGAGUAGUUUGGGAAUGCUGCUCCAAACGGGAGGUAAAUUCCUUCUAAAGCUAAAUACCGGCCGGAGACCGAUAGCGCACAAGUAGAGUGAUCGAAAGAUGAAAAGCACUUUGGAAAGAGGGUCAAACAGCACGUGAAAUUGUUGAAAGGGAAGCGCUUGCGACCAGACGUGCGCCGGGCGGCUCAUCCCGCGCUCGCGCGGGUGCACUCCGCCCGGCGCAGGCCCGCGUCGGUUCCGGCGGGGGGAGAAAGGCUUGGGGAACGUAGCUCCUUCGGGAGUGUUACAGCCCGGAGCGUCAUGCCUCCGCAGGGACCGAGGUCUGCGCCUUCGGCAAGGACGCGGGCGUAAUGGUCGCCAGCGACCCGUCUUGAAACACGGACCAAGGAGUCAAGGUUUUGCGCGAGUGUUUGGGUGCCAAACCCGCACGCGAAAUGAACGUGAACGUAGGUGAGAGCUUCGGCGCAUCAUCGACCGAUCCUGAUGUCUUCGGAUGGAUUUGAGUACGAGCGUGAGGCCUUGGACCCGAAAGAUGGUGAACUAUGCUUGGAUAGGGUGAAGCCAGAGGAAACUCUGGUGGAGGCUCGCAGCGGUUCUGACGUGCAAAUCGAUCGUCAAAUCUGAGCAUGGGGGCGAAAGACUAAUCGAACCAUCUAGUAGCUGGUUACCGCCGAAGUUUCCCUCAGGAUAGCAGUGUCGUCUUCAGUUUUAUGAGGUAAAGCGAAUGAUUAGGGACUCGGGGGCGCUCUUUAGCCUUCAUCCAUUCUCAAACUUUAAAUAUGUAAGAAGCCCUUGUUACUUUGUUGAACGGGGGCCUUCGAAUGCAGCGACACUAGUGGGCCAUUUUUGGUAAGCAGAACUGGCG
rnacentral:rRNA from 1 species